GGCGCUGCAUCUGGCGAUUGCGACGCUUCUCAAUGCCGGCGAUCACAUCGUGGCGUCCGCCUCGCUCUAUGGCGGAACGAUCAAUCUUCUCACGCAUACGCUGCCGCGCUUCGGCAUCACCACGACCUUCGUCAAGCCGCGCGAUCUUGACGGCAUCCGCGCCGCGAUCAAGCCAAACACCAAGCUCGUGAUCGGCGAGACCAUCGGCAAUCCCGGUCUUGAAGUGCUCGACAUUCCCGCUGUCGCGAAGGUC
rnacentral:misc_RNA from 1 species